rnacentral:rRNA from 1 species
GGCGUGCUUAACACAUGCAAGUCGAACGAUGAAACCUUAGCUUGCUAAGGUGGAUUAGUGGCGCACGGGUGAGUAAUAUAUAGAUAACGUGCCUCUUAGUCUGGGAUAGCCAUUGGAAACGAUGAUUAAUACCGGAUACUCCUUCUCAUUAUAAUUUGAGUUGGGAAAGUUUUUCGCUAAGAGAUCGGUCUAUAUCCCAUCAGCUUGUUGGUAGUGUAAGAGACUACCAAGGCAAUGACGGGUAGCGGGUUUGAGAGGAUGAUCCGCCACACUGGUACUGAGACACGGACCAGACUCCUACGGGAGGCAGCAGUGAGGAAUAUUGCACAAUGGAGGAAACUCUGAUGCAGCAACGCCGCGUGGAGGAUGACGCAUUUCGGUGUGUAAACUCCUUUUAUAGGUCAAGAAAAUGACGGUAGCCUAUGAAUAAGCACCGGCUAACUCCGUGCCAGCAGCCGCGGUAAUACGGAGGGUGCAAGCGUUAUUCGGAAUCACUGGGCGUAAAGGACACGUAGGCGGGAAGCCAAGUCUGAUGUGAAAUCCUAUGGCUUAACCAUAGAACUGCAUUGGAAACUGGUUACCUAGAGUAUGGGAGGGGGGAGAUGGAAUUA